UUUUCUCCCACAGGAUUCCGGGCAGGCCUGUCCCUCCCCGUCACAUGUCCCCAUGGCGCCAUCACAGCUCAGCGCACGUGACUGAACAUCUGCCUGGCUCUUCUGUGCUUUCUUACUGAAGAGGAUAAGGAAGGGAGGAAACUGGAGGAUGGGCAUGUUAGCAGAGAGGACCAGUGGACGGCCCAGGAGAAGGGUUCUUUCACGGAUGCCUUGAGAAGCCCAGUGAAAACGGAGACACGAGUCGGGGCCUUGUAACUGCCCCACACAGGGGUCGGAAGGGGGCAGAGGCCGGCGAAGGAAGAGACGUGGCCGGCUGCACUGCCCCCGCACCCAGGGGGCCAGGCCCUGUGUCCAGCUAGGGGGCCUUCAAGUCACAUUUCUGCAAGGAGAUUUUCCUGAGCCGUGUCUCUGGGACCACAGAGGGCCUGGAAGCAGGGUUAGUGAGGCCAAUUCGUGGAAGACCAAACACAAGAGGAAAAGGCUGCCCGGCUCACCAGCGCCCGCACUGUGCUCGGCCUGGAGCAGGUGUGGAAUCCGCCCAUCUCUGCAUGCGUGCAGGCCCGAGGUGUGAGAGAGGGCCCGACACCCGGCCCCCAGGGAAAGCUCAGCAGUGUGUUCAGCCUCCUGGUGAGUCCGGGCCUGGGGGCUCCAUGCUGGGCUAGGGGCCUCUGAAGCGGCAGCCUUGUCAUCCCUCCCGGCAGGGCCGGGCUGCUCAGCCUGAGCAGAUGAAAUCCAAGGCCCACAUGGGGCCGUGCUUCCAGGAGCUUAUCAAAGUGUCCCCACCCUCUGGCCUCACAGCCCCACUGUGAGCACUGCCCCAGGGAAAAUGGCCCGAAGCAAUUCUUCGCAGAAUAAUGGUGAGAAAUGAGAAAUAACAGGGAUCCAGCCCCAGGAGACGGUGACCGUUGUGGAACGGCCCUGGCUGGAAUAACGUGCAGGUAUCAAACCUGGUGUUUGCACUGAAUUUCUCAUCUGAGGGGGAAGCACUUCUGGUGAGAAGUUAGGUCCCAGAGCUGGAACCCAGCGGUGACUACGGAGCAAAUGAAGAACUUGGACUCGGUGCUCAGAUUGAUUUCGAGUUUAACCCCUUCUCUGCCUUUUUCUUACUACGUGUGGGCCUGGGUUUGUCAAACUCUUGAAGCUUCCGCUUGUCCAUCUAUAAAAGGAAGCUACACUGCCUGCCUCCAAGGGCUGGAGCCUGUAAAGGAAAGAUGCGGGGAAGCUUGGGGGCGCUUGGAACAUGGUCAAGGUGGCGAUGACAGCGGCCGCAGAGAAACGUCAAAUGCACGCGUGUGGAGGGCUGGGCAGAAGAGGUUGCCUCUGGGUCAAUUAUUUCUCUUCCCUUUCUUUCACUAUUUUAUCUCAAUUCUCUCUAAGGAUCCUAGUUUACUUUGAAAGUGAACCCAAAUAACUUUAUUCUUGCUUCACAUCUAUCUUUGGUGGAGGCGUCCCGUACUCAGCCUGAGGUCACGGAGCCCCCAGGUGCCCCGUGGGGUCCAGAGAGGCGAUGUGAGCGCCUCAGGGCAGCCCGGUGCACAGCCCCGUGGAGACCCACGGCCCGCAGGGCUAGCAGGAGCUGGCGCCCCUCCCCCCGAGGGGGUGUGUCCCAUGGAGGAAGCGAGUCACGCACCCUGGCAACGCUGUUUUCCCACGUGAAGUGCGGGGCAUGGCGCAGCCCUCUCGAUGUGUGCCUGUCU